AUGAAGCCAAGAGAAUAUGGCUGUAUAAGAAGAAAAAUAAAUCCAUGCAUCUACAGUAUUGAGUUAAAGUGCCAAGAAAAGUUGUCAAGGCAAAUGAUUGACCUAUUCUUUCAGCAACUGUACAUGACAGCAAUAUUGUUGCGGGUUGUAGAUCCACUCCUGACUCACCGCUGUUCGCUCUGGUCCAGAAACAAGUCGGUCAGGAAGCCAUGCAGCAGCCACGGCUUUAAGGAUACCAGAAAAAUGCCCAUGGAGCCAGAGGUGGCAGUUCAUCAAAUCUGAAUCACUCUAUUGAGCUGCAACAUAAAAUCCCUGGAGAAGGUGUGUGCUGACUUCAUUAGAGGAGCAAAGGAAAAAAAUAGUGAAAGGACCAGUUCUAAUGCCUACCAAGACUUUGAGAAUCACUACAAGAAAAAUUCAUUGUGGUGAAGGUUCUAAAACAUGGGAUCGUUUCCAGAUGAGAAACCACAAGCAACUCAUUGACUUGCACAGUCCUUCUGAGAUUGUUAAGCAGAUUAAUUCCAUCAGUAUUAAGCCAGGAGUUGAGGUGGAAGUCACCAGUGCAGAUGCUUAAGUCAACUAUUUUAAUAAAUUGAUUACCAGUUG